GGGCCGUUAGCUCAGUUGGUAGAGCAGCUGACUCUUAAUCAGCGGGUCGGUGGUUCGAGCCCACCACGGCCCA
rnacentral:tRNA from 1 species